AAGGACACAAAUAUCCUUCAGGAGAACAUGUCAGAAUAGAAGAACAGGAAGCUUGGUGUCAGCGUCGAGUUCACAAUAAUGCCUUCAACAAGCUGGCGUGUUAACAGGUGCGGCCUCUAACCAAAGCCGUUCAUCACAAGAAAGUGACUCUCGGGCUACUGCUGGAAUUGAAUCACAGAAUCCGAGCUGAUCACAGUUCAAGAUGUUUUUUUUGCGGGGGCAGAGGUUUCUGCUGUGGUUCAAUAGGGAUCCAAUAGGGGUCCAGGAUCUGGACUUGAUAAAAAAAUUCAAAAUCGAAGAGGAUGCGGGGGGAGAAAGAAAGAGACUGCCGACACGUGACAGUGUGGGGACAUCGACAAAAGCCGGAUGCCUCGAAAUGUCAGCCCCGACAUCUGUACGAAGAAGGCCGUCCCCGCCAAUCGGGUGGCUCGCGUGGAGGCGAUAAAUGGCAUUCUUCGGGAGCGAGCGAGUGACUCUGUGGUCCUGCAGCCUGCAAGCUAGCGAGGUGCAACGCUGAUGAUGAGCCGUGAGACGAGGGGCUGAUGCAUUUUUGAUGCCCGCAGUGGCGACCGUUGACCUGCUCGGGGAGCGGCGGGGUCGCGCCGCGAGGAGCCCGGCAAUGUCUCCAG
ensembl:lncRNA